GGAAAGGAAAGGAAAGGAAAGGAAAGGAAAGGAAAGGAAAGGAAAGGAAAGGAAAGGAAAGGAAAGGAAAGGAAAGGAAAGGAAAGGAAAGGAAAAUGUGCUGUUUCUUCACUUUUCUGCACAACUGAUAGCAAAUAUGCUGUAUGAGAGCAUUGCAAGGAUAAUGAGAGGGAGGUUACAUGUGUGUGAGCCGAUGGAUGGAAGGAAGCCGAAGAUAAUGAAUCAAUAAAUCGUAUUUUCUGUAAUUUUUCAUCUGUCCAUAACUAUUGCAUCUGCGCUGGCCAACUUCCCAAAGACAAAAUGCGGCAUCUGCAGUUAGUGCUGAAGCGGCCACGUACGUGGUGUCGCCUUCCACCAGUAACAUGUGGAAGAGAUUAGAUAAGCGAGGUGGCUCCUGCUGUGGGGAGUUAUUCCCGCUCCGGAGCCCUGGAAGGUACGCUGCUUCUCACACGCCGGUGUGAGCGCUGCUUGAGGCGUCUAGGGAAGUCGCUUUAUCAAAAAGCAAUGCACAUCACCACAGCCGUAUGGCUGAUUUCAAGUCAAAAUCGCCCCUCCGCUCCUGUUUAGGCUUUAGGUAGCAUCAGAGCAAGCAGCAGCCGGCGAUUGUGCUUUUAUCUUUGAUGCGAGUUUCUGGCGAGCAAAGCGGGAAGCCAGAAAGCCAAACAGCUCGGCCCGAGCCGCACGAAACUUGCUUAUCGGUAGCCGCGCGGUGCGUGCGCUUCAUUCCUGGCCUUUUGGGGUAAUUAUUAUGCUUAUUUUUUUUUUUCCUUUUUUUCAAUGGGAAGGCCCCCGCGGGCUCCCCGCCCGCCGCCCCGCCGGCAGGGGCCCGGAGGAGCGAAGGAGUUAAAGGGAGGCGCUUGGGAAAUCCGAUGCUGAGGAGCCCCAGGAAUGCUGCCCCUUCCCACUCCCCUCCGGCUCUCGGAGCAGCUCAGUCCCCGCCGCCGAGCCCCGAGGCCGCGCACACUCGCUCCGGGCUCUGCCCCGCAGGCGCUGCCGGAGAUGCCGGGCAGGAGGCGGUGGUGGGCACGCUGCUGGCUGGGCGUCUGCCUCUCGCUGCUGGGCGCCGGGGGCUGCAGCGGCGGCGGCUCCGAGCCCUGCCGGCUGCCCCCCUGCGGCGGCGAGGCUCCCCCGCCGCCCUGCCGCGGGGCCCGCUGCGGAGCCCGUGCCGGCCGGCCCGCCCGCUCCUUCCCGCACACCGCCACGCCGCUGCGGGCCCCGCAGGGCAAGGCGCAGCCCCCCGCAGCCAGGGGGGUCCCUCCGGAGGCCUGCCCGGCCGGGGGCUGCUCCUCCAACGGCACCCGCCGCGACUGCCAGGGCCUGGAGUGCCGCCUGCCGCUCCGCCUGCGGCCGCGGCCCCGCGGCCCCGCCGGCUGCGCCGCCUCCGCCACCGCCGAGGGCUGCCCCGAGCCCGCCCUGCUCCGCGCCGCCGAGAGGGCCGCCCAGUUCGCCGGGGACGACUUCGCCUACGGCGGGCCCGAGCUGGGCGGAGGCGGCGCCCUGGGGGUGCAGCUGGCCUGCGACGUGAAGCCAGGAGAAAACGAAGUUCCAUCUGAAGACGCCCUAAUACUACAGCUGCACCUUGCAAAAGGACACGAGAAAUUUACUGAAAUGCUAAAAAGCCAGCAGCAAAUCAUUGUGGAUUUGCAGCAAAAACUUGCUGAACAGCAGCACAUGCUGGUUAGCCAGCAAAAGGAGAUUCUUGAACAGCAAAGAAAAAUGUAUGAGCAAAUGGAUCUGAUCAAAGUCCAGUAUGGCAUGCUUUUUGACACAGUGAAACAAAUGUCAUUUCAGAGUUUGCAAGAAGAUAUUCAAAAUUAUUUUGAAAGUCAUCUUCAAGGACUUCAGAACCAGGUCAGGAAUCAUCUCCAGAAGUCAUACUCUGUCCAUAAAGUAGAAGUGGAUGCAAAAGUGAUUAAUGUUGGGGAGUCUUUGCUGGACUGUGGUCUUUGUGAAAGUGAUGAAUUUUGCAAUUUCCAAAAGACACCUUCACAAUGUGAAAAAUGUACAUUGUGUCCUGCUGGUUUUUUCCAAAUGGCUGAGUGUUCUGCAAACUCUGAUCGGAUUUGCCAGGACAGAGAUGAAUGUACUGAAUCUCCAAGUAUUUGUGGUGAGAGGAUAAAGUGUCUGAAUACUCCAGGUGGCUUCCGAUGCCUCGGAAUUGCUGAGAAAGAUGCCGCUUUGGGAUUGUGUGGCGAGGAGUAUUUCUUUAAUAAGGAAAUGCAGGAAUGCCAGGCAUGUUUGAAAUGUGAAGAUGGAAUGGUGGCCAUGCCUUGCUCCACUGUCAGUGAUACAGUUUGUUCAGCAACCAGUGAAAACAAGCUGUCAGAGUCUUGGGCUGCAAACAUCAUUUUACCAUCUGUAAAGUCUGGCAUCUCUCAGGUCUACUCUGGUUUGAACUUGAAGAUAAGGGAAAAGCUUCACCGUGAAAUCCUGUCCAUUGAAGAUACCAGCCUGGUAUUCAGGCAGCAUGGUCUGUUGUGGACUGACCUAAAUUUUGCAGUAAAACACAACUGCAGGAAUUUUUUGCAACUUUCUUUAAAGCUAAAUGGCAGCGAGGAAGGCUAUGAACUGAGUGGUGUUCGCAUUGAACAACCAGAAGGAAAAUAUUUCCAGAGCACUAGUUUAAGCAGUGCUGCUGAAGUGGAACCCAGCCAAACUCUUUCUGUGUUUUUAAGGAGCCCAAAUCAGUUCUGCAAUCAAAGUAAAGACUUACAUAUUUAUGAUCUUAACACACCACUAAGUUUGUUUUGGUUGUCUCAUGACACGGGUGCUGUGGCAAUUAGUGCACAGAUGUCAACAGCAAUGCAUUACCAAACCAACUAUCGACCUACCUUUAAAAUAAUUUCUGUUUCCGACCCUUACAUGCUAAGUUUAUCUCACGAUGGCAGAGCUAUAAAGUUCACUGAAACCGGUGUUGUCAAAUUUGUGUUCCACCAAGCAUUGUAUUCCAUGGGUCAUACGUGUGUCCGGGAGGGUUUCUCCUUAAUUUCUUAUAUAAACAGGAAUGGCACCAACAGAGAAUUAAUGAAUGUAUUUAAAUCUGGGGUAAACUACAGAGACACGUCAAUAUCUGCUUCUGGGGCCACAAAAGUUGCUGCUGGAGAUCUGAUUAGCUUUGAGAUACUUUCUCCUGCACAAUGUAAUGUCCGGUAUUUUGGAGAUAGUUCUGGAAUUAGUAUUUUUAGCCUCAUCUGGAUACCUUCAGCAGUUUCUAGUGCCAUAUCAGCCACAGUUUCUGUUACUGCUCUGCCUACUGGAGCUGUGAGAAACAAAUUACUGGAUUUCACCCAGGUCUCAUCCAGUGAGAAACAGAUACAGCUGGUUUCUUCUGGACAGCUUGCUCAGAAGUACUUCGUUUUUACUGAAAAGGGAGUUGCCAGCCUUGCAUUUAACUUAAAGCUAAUCCAUUCAUGCAACAUGCUUAAAGUGACUCUCAACCGGUUGACCAUGGAUCACAUGCAACCCACAGCAAUUGCUCAGCAGAUUGGAGGUCAGAUGCCAGAGGGAAGCAUAUGGACCAGUGUGUCCCUCCGUGCAUCUUUUGAUGUACAUAACGGAACGCUGAUAUCAGUUUCUCUUGACUGUGUGCGUGGAAGGAUCAAUCAGAUCACUCAUGAACAUGGAACCAGUAUAUCUAUUUUAUGGAUUUCAUCUUAAUUUCUGUACAGUGGUGUUAGCACAGGACUGGGGUUUAAAUUGGAUUUGGAUUCUGCUCUGAUUCAAUGUCUGUAUUUGACACCUUACUGUGUGUUGACAUGAACAUACCAUCCUGCUAAAAUGCUCUCAAUUUUAGGAAUAUUUAAAGGUAAUCUUAAUUAAAUGAUCAGUAUUUAAAGAAAAGAGCUGUCAUUGUUCCAAGACAUUACUUCUGUUACCAUCUUCAGGCAGGGGAACCACGAAUUCAGCUCAAACUUAUUUUUAAAAAAAAUGUCUUUUAAAAUCAGUUAUUUCUGGACCACAAAAAUUGCAGUGAGGAUAAAUACAUACCUUUUAGUGCUGGCACUGAAAGCAGCACAGCCAAGUAAUGAAAACCUGCUUUCACUUUCUUCACUGCAGCAGGCUAACAAGAAGACUAAAUGCACUUUGAUGCUAAUUUGUCUACAUCUUAUAAAAUGUUGUGCUUUCUAUAAGUGCCUCAAACAUGCCACAGGCUAGAAGUGAUAAUAUGGUAAAAUUCAAGUAUACAUGCACAGUAUUCUUGAAGUGGAGCUAGGUCAAAAAUAGAACAUUGUUUUUACAAAAUAUAAUAAUUGUGCUCAACAAAAUCAUUGGAACUAAUGGUCAUUCUACUUUAAUUUGGAAAUUGUCUGCUUUUAAGUAAUUUGGGAAGGCUUUUUCCUUUUUUUUUUUUUUUUUUGCCAGUGAAAGGUUGCAUGAUAAGAAGGAAUGGAGUAUGAAAAGAAUGUCUUAGAAAUUAAACUUUUUGAAUGAAACAAAUAUUUAUUCCGUUUAUUACAAAUGACAAGAUAUUUUCCUGACCAAAAAGGAACACCAUUCACAAGCAUAUUUAUUUUGCUGAAUGCUUAUUUUUAAAAGUUUUUUGGGGGAUUAAAUCACUCAGUUAAUUCUAAAAAGAAACAAUGUAUUCAAUGACACUGAUUUUUGUCUUCUACCAACUCUUCCAUCAAACUGCUCUAUCUGAUCGGUGAAGAGCAUUUCCUCUCAUUUUCUCCUUUCUCCAUCAAUACUGCUUCACUCUCCAUUCUUAUCUCUUUUGUUAGGAGCAAAUAGCAUGCUCUGGCAUCUGGCUUGACUCUUUCCAGACAUCCCUCACCAUUCCUACUAAAGAGUGGGUGUUUGUCACACACGUAACUAUGGGAGAGGGACAUUAAAUGGGGCCCUCACAGGCUGCCUUACAUCAACCUUCUUGAGAGCAAGACUACUGUGCAUGAUACAGCUUUAUUGUAGGUGUCUGCCUGAGCAUGUAUAUCUAAAUACAUGCUCUUUCCUGUGCGCUUCAUCUAUUCUAGAGUUUGUUAGAAUUUUCUGUAAAAGCAAGAACCUUAAUGCUAGACUUCUAUCUGCUGGUUCCAUUUUUCCUGGUGAUUUUCUAAUUCUGUCAUUACCACCUGUGGUUACCUUUCCCACAUCCUUUUUCUUCAGGUUUAUAUUCAAAGAUGUGCAGGCUUUGGACAGAUUGUUCUCCUGCUCCGAAUGGAGAACACUGGUUUUCCUUGCUUUCAGCAGUAAGGUCCAAGCAGCCCAUCACAAGAUACCUCACUGGAUGCUGUGUUGAGGCCAGCAUAACUGUGCAAACUGUAGUAAGUUCAGUCCUGGUGUCACUGAAGUCUGUGACAGAGGGCUUCGUGCCUUUGUCAUUCAUUCUUUCAGGGACAUAAGGGAAGGACGGAUUAAAGCUAAUACUGAAAAUGUUCAACAUUUGCAAAAUACUGGUAUUGUUACAGAUUAUAUUUUAUAGUAAUAAAAGAAGACGUCUGAGAUUAGAGUGCUUGAAG
ensembl:lncRNA